rnacentral:rRNA from 1 species
UACGUAGGUGGCGAGCGUUGUCCGGAUUUAUUGGGUUUAAAGGGUGCGUAGGCGGCUUUGUAAGUCAGUGGUGAAAUACUCCAGCUUAACUGGAGGGGUGCCAUUGAUACUGCGGAGCUUGAGUACAGAUGAGGUAGGCGGAAUUCCUGGUGUAGCGGUGAAAUGCGCAGAUAUCAGGAGGAACACCGGUGGCGAAGGCGGUUCUCUGGGCCUUACCUGACGCUGAGGAGCGAAAGCGUGGGGGAGCAAACAGG